rnacentral:lncRNA from 1 species
CAAAGCCCUAUAACACCGCAUUUUUCUCCCAUUUUCUUAUCCCCAUCAGCAACACAGUACUUUUCCUUCACUAUCGAUUUUUUUUACUCUCCACUCUCGAUUCACAUCCCAGUUUUAUCCCUUCACUUCCUGUGUUGCCACUACUCCACCACAGCUACCAUUUGCAUAUUAUCUCAACUAGGAGUGGAGGCACCAAGAGGCCAGGGCGGUCAGUGGCCCACUGGAAAACCUAACCCUUUAGAGCCACGCAUCCAAACCAGCGAAUCACAGAUUUUUCUCCUCUCCACGACUCUGCCCAGCGCCUCAGCUCUCACUCUUGUCUCUCGCCACCUUCCACCACCGACCACCAGCGCUUCUCAGUUCUCACUCUUGUCACUCGCCUCCCAAGACCCACACAGCUGCAGAGACUGGUGGCGUGAUUUAGAUGCUUAGGAUAUUUUUUAAAAACUUGCUAUAAUAUAGAUAGUCAUUUUAUCCUCAAGAACAAUAAAAUUUUUGAUUGAUUUCCUUUAUUUCCUUUCCACAGUUAUUAGUUUUGAUUGAAAUAGUUAAUUUAUUUUAUUUUUUUAAUUUGUGAGCUUUUCUCUUGUAAUUAGAGGUUUUACCUAUAGGUGUAGGGUUUUUCAUUGAAAAUAGAAUUUGCUAUUGAAUUGACUGGUGAAUACCAUCAAACUUCAACUGAUUUGGGUGUCUAAAUGUGAAUAAAUUGCUUUGCUUUGAUUCAGGAUAUUCUGAGAAGUAGAGAAACUGGUGAGUUCCUUGGUGUUGCUUUAGCAGGGACCACGACCAAAGCCAUUCUCCCUCCUCUUGAGACCAUCAGGUUUUCUGUUUCCACUUCCUUGAUUCUGGUUCUAGUUUUUUUUUUUGCUUUACCUAAUAAAUGAAGCAGAUUGCAUAAUAGUUCAAUUGCGAUACAUUAUUUGAUCAAACUUUAAAAGGAAAAUUCAUGUACUUUUAAAACAAAGGGAGUGUGCAACACUGACGGUCUCUUUACUAUUUUAUACGUGUAUUUCAUUUCUUAGUUGUGUAACUUGUCUCAGAUUUAUGUCGGUUAAUGUCCACAUCAUGAAUGAUUGUACUGCUGAGCCAUUCCUUUUAAAUAUCUGGUUUUUUCCAUUACCUUGUACAGGAUAGAUUGACUGCCUGAUUUUAUCACAGUCAAAGUAUUGCAGUACGCAACAUUUACAAGGAUGGUGGUAUUGGUCUUUCUACUUUGGUAUUUCACCCACAUUGAUCAGCAUGCUCCCAUAUAGCAAUAACACUUGCUACUACUUCAUGUAUUAGUUGCCAAUAAUAAUCUUAAGGAAUCAUUUGUUUUGCUUUCCUUUUGCUCUCAUUUUUUCUUGCUGUUCCUCUUUUCUUCAUCAAUUCUAGCAUUUCUGUUCCUCGUCUCAAUUGUGAUCCUAUUUUAUUUUCUUAAAUUUCCAGGAUGGCAUGUGGAAUGAAUAAGUUGCUGAAGUUAGUAUUAUACCAUCAUUCUUCAAGCCUAAAAUAUGAAAGUUGAGUUUUAAUAUAACUCACUUAAACAAGAGUGAGACGACAUCUUUGUUUGAAGAGAGACAAGUCUCUAUCGUAUAUAUAAGUUUACUUCUUUGGUUUGGAGAAAGCUCAUCUUCAAGUAAUACUUACCAGAAUCCUAUCAUAAUAGUUUGACUAAUUGAAGUAAUACCAACCAAUUUUGUAGUUAGGGACAUGGCAUAUGAAGUGCAUUGCACAUACUAAGAAAUAUUAAACCUAUUAGAUGGAACUUGGAAGGUUAUAUAUAUAUAGCCACAAUUUUAUGGUUACGGACAUAAAUAAGGGAGACCUUUAGAAUUUGGCACUUACAAUAGAAUAAUAAGCAAAAUAGGUAAAUCUUUGGAAGCAUACAACAAUAAAAAAGUGAUUAAGAAAGUUUUAGGUCAAAAUCAAAUGCUCAAAGUAUAGACACCUUAUCAAGAAGAAAAUAGAAAAUGGACAUUUAUAUCUCUCUUAUUACUAGUAAAGAGCAACUAGUAGAUAUUUGACAAAAGAAGUGCAGAGACCUUUAUUCCUCUCAAAGAAGAAAUGAUAAUACUCCAUUUUUUUUUUUUUGGCAUACAUAACUACCUUGUCUUACUAAUUCUUUGAAGAUUGUACUCUACAAAUGCAGGACUUGCAAUUUUUUGGAGAUUGUCGCUAAUUCUUUGGCUUACCAUUGGAUUACUGCAUAAAAAAGGGCUUGCAAUUGUUGAGAGCAAUGAGGGUUGGGGUGAGCAGCACAUGACACUAAAGCUUGGUACUAGGACAUCCUGAAAUACAUGAAUUAGAUGAAGAGAAGUUGGUUAUGUUUUUCAAUAGCAUGCUUGCAUUUUUUACAUUAUGUAUUCAAGUGCAUAGGAGAAUAUUGUCAUCCUUCACAUUAUGUAUUCAAAAAUUUGUAAUGAAAUUAUCAAUUUUUAUGCAAUUCCAGAAUUUGUCAUUUUCAAUUUUA